rnacentral:rRNA from 1 species
GAUGAACGCUGGCGGCGUGCUUAACACAUGCAAGUCGAACGAAGUGGCGGAUGGGCGAGUAACACGUGAGGAACCUGCCUUUCACAGGGGAAUAACACUGGGAAACCAGUUCUAAUACCGCAUAGUGAAAGAUGGCCUCGCGCCUGAUUAGCUAGUAGGUGAGGUAAAGGCCCCCCUAGGUGAUGAACAGUAGCCGGACUGGAGGUUGAUCGGCCGCAUUGGGACUGGGACACGGCCCAGACGCCGACGGGAGGCAGCAGUGGGGAAUAUUGGGCAAUGGCGCAAGCCUGACCCAGCAACGCCGCGUGAAAGAAGACGGUCUUCGGAUUGUAAACAUCUUUAGGCAGAGACGCGGUACCUGUAGAAUAAGCCACGGCUAACUACGUGCCAGCAGCCGCGGUAAUAC